UUCGAUUUCAACCGUCUUUUUAAGCGGGCGGUAGAAGCGAUGCGGACGGAGUCGUUUCCCCUCUUCUUCCUCUUCCCUCGUCGAGGUCGACCAUCUCUCCUCCUGCGAUCCCCUGCCGAUCUUUAUUCCUCUCCCCGAUAUGGAUGAAGGUUGUUGUUCUGUUCAACUUAUAGAUGGAGACGGUGUGUUCAACGUCAGUGGCAUUGAACAUUUUAUGAAGACAAUGAAGCUGGUUUAGUGUGGACUGUCAUAUGCAGUGGUGUCUAUUAUGGGUCCACAAAGUAGUGGUAUUGCUUAUGAGUUCCUUGAACUAUUACUUUUUUGUUUUUGUUUUUUCUCUCUGUCCUAUUGCUUCCUUGUCUUGCGUUUCACUUCUUCGCUGAUGUUUGAUCAGUUCUUUUUUGACUUUGUUUUGAUGACUUAAUUAUAUUGAUAAUGUUUUCUGUUUUUAUUUC